AUGCCGCGGUGAAUACGUUCCCGGGCCUUGUACACACCGCCCGUCACACCACGAGAGCUGCAACACCCGAAGUCGGUGAGGUAACCCUUACGGGAGCCAGCCGCCGAAGGUGGGGCAAGUGAUUGGGGUGAAGUCGUAACAAGGUAGCCGUACCGGAAGGUGCGGCUGGAUCACCUCCUUUCUA
rnacentral:rRNA from 1 species